rnacentral:rRNA from 1 species
GUGGGGAAUAUUGGGCAAUGGGCGGAAGCCUGACCCAGCGACGCCGCGUGGGGGAAGAAGUCUUUCGGGAUGUAAACCCUUGUUGUACGGGACGAAGGAAGUGACGGUACCGUACGAGGAAGCCCCGGCAAACUACGUGCCAGCAGCCGCGGUCAUACGUAGGGGGCGAGCGUUGUCCGGAAUCACUGGGCGUAAAGCGCACGUAGGCGGGCUGUCAAGUCGGCCGUGAAAGGGACGGGCUCAACCUGUGCAGUUCGGUCGGUACUGGCGGUCUGGAGUGUGGGAGAGGGAACUGGAAUUCCCGGUGUAGCGGUGAAAUGCGUAGAUAUGCGGAGGAACACCGAUGGCGAAGGCAAUCCCCUGGACCUGUACUGACGCUCAUGCACGAAAGCGUGGGGAGCAAACAGGAUUAGAAACCCGUGUAGUCC